GAAAUGCGAUACGUAGUGUGAAUUGCAGAAUUCAGUGAAUCAUCGAAUCUUUGAACGCACAUUGCGCCCUUUGGUAUUCCAAAGGGCAUGCCUGUUCGAGCGUCAUUUGUACCCUCAAGCUUUGCUUGGUGUUAGGCGUCUUUUGUCUUUGGCCUCGCCCAAAGACUCGCCUUAAAACGAUUGGCAGCCGGCCUACUGGUUUCGCAGCGCAGCACAUUUUUGCGCUUGCAAUCAGCACAAGGACGGCAAUCCAUCAAGACUACAUUUUUACGUUUGACCUCGGAUCAGGUAGGGAUACCCGCUGAACUUAAGC
rnacentral:misc_RNA from 1 species